rnacentral:rRNA from 1 species
UGGGGAAUCUUGGACAAUGGGCGCAAGCCUGAUCCAGCCAUGCCGCGUGAGUGAUGAAGGCCUUAGGGUCGUAAAGCUCUUUCGCCAGAGAUGAUAAUGACAGUAUCUGGUAAAGAAACCCCGGCUAACUCCGUGCCAGCAGCCGCGGUAAUACGGAGGGGGUUAGCGUUGUUCGGAAUUACUGGGCGUAAAGCGCGCGUAGGCGGACUAGUCAGUCAGGGGUGAAAUCCCGGGGCUCAACCCCGGAACUGCCUUUGAUACUGCUAGUCUAGAGUUCGAGAGAGGUGAGUGGAAUUCCGAGUGUAGAGGUGAAAUUCGUAGAUAUUCGGAGGAACACCAGUGGCGAAGGC